UAGGGAAUCUUCCGCAAUGGGCGAAAGCCUGACGGAGCAACGCCGCGUGAGUGAUGAAGGUCUUCGGAUCGUAAAACUCUGUUAUUAGGGAAGAACAAAUGUGUAAGUAACUAUGCACGUCUUGACGGUACCUAAUCAGAAAGCCCCGGCUAACUACGUGCCAGCAGCCGCGGAAAUACGUAGGUGGCAAGCGUGAUCCGGAAUUAUUGGGCGUAAAGCGCGCGUAGGCGGUUUUUUAAGUCUGAUGUGAAAGCCCACGGCUCAACCGUGGAGGGUCAUUGGAAACUGGAAAACUUGAGUGCAGAAGAGGAAAGUGGAAUUCCAUGUGUAGCGGUGAAAUGCGCAGAGAUAUGGAGGAACACCAGUGGCGAAGGCGACUUUCUGGUCUGUAACUGACGCUGAUGUGCGAAAGCGUGGGGAGCAAACAGG
rnacentral:rRNA from 1 species